rnacentral:rRNA from 1 species
UACGGGGGGGGCAAGCGUUGUUCGGAAUUACUGGGCGUAAAGGGCGCGUAGGCGGUUUGCUAAGUCGAAUGUGAAAACUCCGGGCUUAACCCGGAGCCUGCAUUCGAUACUGGCAGGCUAGAGUUCUGGAGGGGAUAGCGGAAUUCCUGGUGUAGCGGUGAAAUGCGUAGAUAUCAGGAGGAACACCGGUGGCGAAGGCGGGUCUCUGGGCCGAUACUGACGCUGAGGAGCGAAAGCGUGGGGAGCGAACAGG